rnacentral:rRNA from 1 species
UGCGCAGGCGGUUUUGUAAGCCAGAUGUGAAAUCCCCGGGCUCAACCUGGGAAUGGCAUUUGGGACUGCAAGGCUGGAGUGUGGCAGAGGAGACUGGAAUUCCCGGUGUAGCAGUGAAAUGCGUAGAUAUCGGGAGGAAUACCGAUGGCGAAGGCAGGUCUCUGGGCUUACACUGACGCUCAUGCACGAAAGCGUGGGGAGCAAACA